rnacentral:rRNA from 1 species
UACAGAGGUGCCGAGCGUUAGGCGGAAUCACUGGGCUUAAAGCGUGUGUAGGUGGAUGCCUAAGUACCUUGUGAAAUCCCACGGCUUAACCGUGGAACUGCUCGGUAUACUGGGUGUCUUGAGCCAGCUAGGGGCUACCGGAACAAAUGGUGGAGCGGUGAAAUGCGUAGAUAUCAUUUGGAACGCCAAUGGUGAAAACAGGUAGCUGGGGCUGUGCUGACACUGAGACACGAAAGCCAGGGGAGCGAACGGG